GGUUAAGUUAACAAGGGCGCAUGGUGAAUGCCUUGGCACUAGGAGCCGAUGAAGGACGGGACUAACACCGAUAUGCUUCGGGGAGCUGUACGUAAGCUAUGAUCCGGAGAUUUCCGAAUGGGGCAACCCAGCAGUUUUAAUCAACUGUUACCACUAGAUGAAUUCAUAGUCUAGUUGGAGGUAAACGCUGUGAACUGAAACAUCUCAUUAGCAGCAGGAAUAUAAAGAAAUUUCGAUUCCCUAAGUAGCGGCGAGCGAACGGGGAACAGCCCAAACCAAAGUGCUUGCACUUUGGGGUUGUAGGACUGAACAUUUGAGUUACCAAAGAACUUGAUAGUCGAAGGAUUUGGGAAAAUCCGCCAUAGAUGGUGAUAGCCCAGUAGAUUAAAUCAAAUUCUCUCAGUUCAGGAUCCUGAGUACGGCGGAACACGUGAAAUUCCGUCGGAAUCCGGGAGGACCAUCUCCCAAGGCUAAAUACUACCUAGUGACCGAUAGUGAACCAGUACCGUGAGGGAAAGGUGAAAAGCACCCCGGGAGGGGAGUGAAAUAGUUCCUGAAACCAUGUGCCUACAAUAAGUCAGAGCGCGUUAAUGCGUGAUGGCGUGCCUUUUGUAGAAUGAACCGGCGAGUUAUGAUCCCGUGCAAGGUUAAGACUAAAAAGUCGGAGCCGUAGCGAAAGCGAGUCUGAAAUGGGCGCUUUGAGUACGAGGUUAUAGACCCGAAACCAGGUGACCUAUCCAUGUCCAGGUUGAAGGUGCGGUAAAACGCACUGGAGGACCGAACCCGUGUAAGUUGAAAAUUGCUGGGAUGAGGUGUGGAUAGCGGUGAAAUUCCAAACGAACUUGGAGAUAGCUGGUUCUCUCCGAAAUAGCUUUAGGGCUAGCCUCGGAAUUAGGAUCAUGGAGGUAGAGCACUAUUUGGACUAGGGGCCCGUCUUGGGUUACUGAAUUCAGAUAAACUCCGAAUGCCAUUGAUUCAUAUCCGGGAGUCAGACGAUGAGUGAUAAGAUCCACCGUCGAAAGGGGAACAGCCCAGACCAUCAGUUAAGGUCCCUAAAUGUAUGCUAAGUGGAAAAGGAUGUGGAGUUGCAUAGACAACUAGGAUGUUGGCUCAGAAGCAGCCACCAUUUAAAGAGUGCGUAAUAGCUCACUAGUCGAGUGAUCCUGCGCCGAAAAUGUACCGGGGCUAAGCAUACUACCGAAACCAUGGAUGCGACCAUUAGGUCGCGUGAUAGGAGAGCGUUCUAAGGGCGGUGAAGCAAGAUCGUGAGGACUUGUGGAGCGCUUAGAAGUGAGAAUGCCGGUAUGAGUAGCGAAAGAUAGGUGAGAAUCCUAUCCACCGAAUGACUAAGGUUUCCUGGGGAAGGCUCGUCCUCCCAGGGUUAGUCGGGACCUAAGUCGAGGCCGAGAGGCGUAGACGAUGGAUAACAGGUUGAGAUUCCUGUACUAGUUAAGUGCGUUUGAGCAAUGGAGGGACGCAGGAGGCUAAGAUGUGCAUUCUGUUGGAUUAGAAUGUCCAAGCAGUAAGUCUUGUGAAGAGUCAAAU
rnacentral:rRNA from 1 species